ensembl:lncRNA
AUUUGAUUAGAUAUGGUAUCAAUCUUGUGUUUAAAGCAAAAAGAAAAAACUUUCAACUCAAAUUUGAAGUUUGUCUUCCAGUCAGAAUCCAGGUUUUAGUUCAAACCUUUGGUCUUCUGCUGCCCAGUUAUGAAAUAUUACUGCAUGUGCCAUCUCACAGUAACAUGUUGCUUUUGCUGAUGAGAUUUGUUGGUGGUAUUUUGACAGAAGCACUUGAAAUUUUCCACUCAGGUAAAAAGCCUGAGUAAACAGGCUGGCUGUCAAGUGGUGACCAGUGGGGGGGGGGGAUCACAGGCCACUUAAAGCUUUGUAACCAUGAAAUCUGAAGUAGAAGGAGAAGUUCAAAAGGCUGUGGGGUGGCCACUUCAUGAUAACACUUUCCUCUGGCCAAAAAUCUCUUACCCCCUUCCUUAUCUUUAAUUGUCAAAACUUUCUCAACACUUAGCCUUAAUGUAAGAAUGUAACAGAGUGAUGAAUAAAUAUAAACAAUGAUUUGACUCUCACACUUUGUCAUUGCCAUAAAAAAAUAGCUUUGUCCACUGUGUUCCCAUUAUUUUAGAUACCAGAAAUGUGUCAGCGAUGUUUUAUACAAUUUCAUCAGCCGCGGUUUUAAUGAGAUUUGGGAAUGAAUUCGUUUUAGGGUAACUAGAAGAUGAUAGUUUCAGAGUUUCGCCCGUUUUGCUCCACAGAAAUGACACAUGGAGCAAACACAGUUCUGAUAAAUGGUACUGUUGUAGAGACCCACCCUUUGGCACAUCCCAGCACACCCACUCACUUCACCAGAUGCACCUUGUUUAGUUCUCUCACCUUUGAUUGGGUGUGGUGCUUGUCCUCAAUUGCAAUCACCUGUCACACAUUAUAUGUCACACAUUAUAUAAGGACUGCAUUCACUUUUGGCUCACUCUUUCUUCACUUCCACACGGGGCGGCAGCUGAGCUGAGGCAGUCCAUGUGUGUCUUUGUUUCGUUCCUUCUUUGCCUUAUUUAUUUGAGAAUAAAAGGAGAACCCUGAGAAUAAUUCUGAAUUAGA